rnacentral:rRNA from 1 species
CCCAGACUCCUACGGGAGGCAGCAGUGGGGGAUAUUGCACAAUGGGGGGAACCCUGAUGCAGCGACGCCGCGUGGGUGAAGGAGCGUUUCGGCGCGUAAAGCCCUAUCGGCAGGGAAGAAGGAGGACGGUACCUGACUAAGAAGCCCCGGCUAACUACGUGCCAGCAGCCGCGGUAAUACGUAGGGGGCAAGCGUUAUCCGGAUUUACUGGGUGUAAAGGGGGCGCAGACGGCAGCGCAAGCCAGGAGUGAAAGCCCGGGGCCCAACCCCGGGACUGCUCUUGGAACUGCGCGGCUGGAGUGCAGGAGGGGCAGGCGGAAUUCCUGGUGUAGCGGUGAAAUGCGUAGAUAUCAGGAGGAACACCGGUGGCGAAGGUGGCCUGCUGGACUGCGACUGACGUUGAGGCCCGAAAGCGUGGGGAGCAAACAGGAUUAGAUACCCGGGUA